CCUACGGGAGGCAGCAGUGGGGAAUAUUGCACAAUGGGGGAAACCCUGAUGCAGCGACGCCGCGUGAGUGAAGAAGUAUUUCUGUAUGUAAAGCUCUAUCAGCAGGGAAGAAAAUGACGGUACCUGAUUAAGCCGCCCCGGCUAACUACGUGCCAGCAGCCGCGGUCAUACGUAGGGGGCAAGCGUUAUCCGGCUUUACUGGGUGUAAAGGGAGCGUAGACGGCAGCACAAGUCUGGAGUGAAAUGCCGGGGCUUAACCCCGGAACUGCUUUGGAAACUGUGCAGCGAGAGUGCAGGAGAGGUAAGUGGAAGUCCUAGUGUAGCGGUGAAAUGCGUAGAUAUUAGGAGGAACACCAGUGGCGAAGGCGGCUUACUGGACUGUAACUGACGUUGAGGCUCGAAAGCGUGGGGAGCAAACAGGAUUAGAUACCCCUGUAGUC
rnacentral:rRNA from 1 species